UGAGGAAUAUUGGUCAAUGGGCGCAAGCCUGAACCAGCCAUCCCGCGUGGAGGAAGAAGGCGCUAUGCGUUGUAAACUUCUUUUCCAGGGGGAGAAUUUUUCCGUCGUGACGGGAAUUGACGGUACUCUGGGAAUAAGCAUCGGCUAACUCCGUGCCAGCAGCCGCGGUAAUACGGAGGAUGCGAGCGCUAUCCGGAUUUAUUGGGUUUAAAGGGUGCGUAGGCGGAUUGAUAAGUCAGUGGUGAAAGGCUGCAGCUUAACUGUAGACUUG
rnacentral:rRNA from 1 species